rnacentral:rRNA from 1 species
CCUACGGGGAGCAGCAGUGGGGAAUAUUGGGCAAUGGAGGAAACUCUGACCCAGCAAUGCCGCGUGAAUGAAGAAGGUCUUCGGAUUGUAAAGUUCUUUAGUCAGGGAAGAAGUCAAUGACGGUACCUGCAGAAUAAGCUCCGGCUAACUACGUGCCAGCAGCCGCGGUAAUACGGAGGGUGCAAGCGUUACUCGGAAUCACUGGGCGUAAAGAGCGCGUAGGCGGGAUAGCAAGUCAGAUGUGAAAUCCUAUGGCUUAACCAUAGAACGGCAUUUGAAACUGUUAUUCUAGAGUAUGGGAGAGGUAGGUGGAAUUCUUGGUGUAGGGGUGAAAUGCGUAGAGAUCAAGAGGAAUACUCAUUGCGAAGGCGACCUGCUAGAACAUAACUGACGCUGAUGCGCGAAAGCGUGGGGAGCGAACAGGAUUAGAUACCCGGGUAGUC